CUGGAUACCUGUGGCUGCAGCCAUUGACGGAUUCUUUUAUCCACAUCACGAUUCUUCACACACUCCAGGAGUCCCUUAUCCUCGUUGAAAAAACAGUCCAUUCACAAGACCUGAGAGAGUGUUAAGUCCAUUCAGCGCAGCGUCAAUGUCAGUUCCUGCCCUUGAAACAAUAAAGCAGAAAACCAAAAUGGCAUCACACUUCUCUGCGUUGAACACCUGCUGACCUGAUAGUUGUUCAAGGACAUCUUUGAUGAUGUCCUCUGCAGACUUGAAUGUCUUUCCAGUUUGGAUCUUGGACAAGACUAAAACAUUAAAAUGUUUUAACUGAAGAUGGCUAAACGUCACUGAAGAUGACUAAGCGUCUGUUCAUGUAAAACAUCCACUAGACGUCGCUACACUAUAAUGUAACGGUCCAAAUAUCAGAAAAAAAGACACAAAAUAAAAGUGCAGAAAUACA